AGAGCGGAUUAGCGGCGGACGGGUGAGUAACACGUGAGUAACCUGCCUUAGACAUUGGGAUAGCCUCGGGAAACCGGGAUUAAUACCAAAUAAAAUCAUAAUGACACAUGUCAUAACGAUCAAAACUCCGGUGGUCUAAGAUGGACUCGCGUCCCAUUAGCUAGUUGGUAGAGUAAAAGCCUACCAAGGCGACGAUGGGUAGCCGGCCUGAGAGGGUGAACGGCCACAUUGGAACUGAGAAACGGUCCAA
rnacentral:rRNA from 1 species